rnacentral:rRNA from 1 species
GAUGAACGCUGGCGGCGUGCCUAAUACAUGCCAGUCGAGCGAACAGACGAGGAGCUUGCUCCUCUGACGUUAGCGGCGGACGGGUGAGUAACACGUGGAUAACCUACCUAUAAGACUGGGAUAACUUCGGGAAACCGGAGCUAAUACCGGAUAAUAUAUUGAACCGCAUGGUUCAAUAGUGAAAGACGGUUUUGCUGUCACUUAUAGAUGGAUCCGCGCCGCAUUAGCUAGUUGGUAAGGUAACGGCUUACCAAGGCAACGAUGCGUAGCCGACCUGAAAGGGUGAUCGGCCACACUGGAACUGAGACACGGUCCAGACUCCUACGGGAGGCAGCAGUAGGGAAUCUUCCGCAAUGGGCGAAAGCCUGACGGAGCAACGCCGCGUGAGUGAUGAAGGUCUUCGGAUCGUAAAACUCUGUUAUUAGGGAAGAACAAAUGUGUAAGUAACUAUGCACGUCUUGACGGUACCUAAUCAGAAAGCCACGGCUAACUACGUG